rnacentral:ncRNA from 1 species
CACAAAGGUUUGGUCCCAACUUUGCUGUCGACUAUAGCUAAACUUACACAUGCGAGUAUCCGCAUUCCUGUGAGGAUGCCCUUUGUUUCCUGAAUGAAGACGAGGAGCCGGUAUCAGGCACAAGUUCUCUUAGCCCACGACGUCUUGCUCAGCCACACCCCCAAGGGAAUUCAGCAGUGGUAAAUAUUAAGCCAUAAGUGAAAACUUGACCUAGUUAAUGCUUACAGGGCCGGUAAAUCUCGUGCCAGCCACCGCGGUUAUACGAGGUGCUCAAGCUGACAGCUGACGGCGUAAAGAGUGGUUAAGUAAACUCAAACUAAAGUCGAACAACUUCAUAGCUGUUAUACGCUUGUGAAAACACGAAGCCCCAUUACGAAAGUGACUUUAACCCUUUCUGAUUCCACGAAAGCCAGGACACAAACUGGGAUUAGAUACCCCACUAUGCCUGGCCCUAAACAUAGAUAAUAGCACACUUUUAUUAUCCGCCUGGGUACUACGAGCAGCAGCUUAAAACCCAAAGGACUUGGCGGUGCUUUAGAUCCACCUAGAGGAGCCUGUUCUAGAACCGAUAAUCCUCGUUUAACCUCACCCCCUCUCGCCCUUUCCGUCUAUAUACCGCCGUCGUCAGCCCGCCUUUUGAGGGAUAAAUAGCGAGCAAGAACGGUACUGCCCAAAACGUCAGGUCGAGGUGUAGCGUAUGAGGGGGGAAGAAAUGGGCUACAUUCAAUACCCUACAAUGAAUACGGAUGGUGGAUUGAAAACAUCUGCCUUAAGGAGGAUUUAGCAGUAAGUAGGAAGCAGAGAGUCCUACUGAAUCUGGCCCUGAAGCGCGCACACACCGCCCGUCACUCUCUCCGAAUAACUCGACACUCAAUAAUUAAUAACACAGAACUAUUAAGGGGAGGCAAGUCGUAACAUGGUAAGUGUACCA